GAUGAAGAACGUAGCGAAAUGCGAUAAGUAAUGUGAAUUGCAGAAUUCAGUGAAUCAUCGAAUCUUUGAACGCACAUUGCGCCCAUUAGUAUUCUAGUGGGCAUGCCUGUUCGAGCGUCAUUAAGUCCACUUAAGCCCUGCUUAGUGUUGGGAGACUGCUCCAGCGGUGCUACCCUGUAGCUACCCUGCAGCUCCUCAAAGACAGCGGCGGAGUUGUGGUAUCCUCUGAGCUUAGUAACUUGUUCUAGCUUUCGAGUACGCCACUUCCCCUGCCGUAAAACCCUUAAUUUUUAAUGGUUGACCUCGGAUCAGGUAGGAAUACCCGCUGAACUUAAGCAUAUCAAUAAGCGGAGGA
rnacentral:misc_RNA from 1 species